UACAGAGGUCCCAAGCGUUGUUCGGAUUCAUUGGGCGUAAAGGGUGCGUAGGCGGCGCGGUAAGUCGGGUGUGAAAUCUCGGAGCUUAACUCCGAAACUGCAUUCGAUACUGCCGUGCUUGAGGACUGGAGAGGAGACUGGAAUUUACGGUGUAGCGGUGAAAUGCGUAGAUAUCGUAAGGAAGACCAGUGGCGAAGGCGGCUUUCUGGUCUGUAACUGACGCUGAGGCGCGAAAGCGUGGGGAGCAAACAGG
rnacentral:rRNA from 1 species